rnacentral:rRNA from 1 species
UACGUAGGGGGCGAGCGUUGUCCGGAAUCAUUGGGCGUAAAGCGCGUGUAGGCGGUUCAGUAAGUCUGCUGUGAAAGUCCAGGGCUCAACCCUGGGAUGCCGGUGGAUACUGCUGAACUAGAGUGCGGAAGAGGCGAGUGGAAUUCCCGGUGUAGCGGUGAAAUGCGCAGAUAUCGGGGAGGAACACCAAUUGCGAAGGCAGCUCGCUGGGACGUUACUGACGCUGAGACGCGAAAAGCGUGGGGGAGCAAAACAGG